UACAGGGGGGGCAAGCGUUGUUCGGAAUUACUGGGCGUAAAGGGCCAGUAGGCGGCCAACUAAGUCACACGUGAAAUCCCCAGGCUUAACCUGGGAACUGCGUGUGAUACUGGAUGGCUUGAAUUCGGGAGAGGGAUGCAGAAUUCCAGGUGUAGCGGUGAAAUGCGUAGAUAUCUGGAGGAAUACCGGUGGCGAAGGCGGCAUCCUGGACCGACAUUGACGCUGAGACACGACAGCAUGGGGAGCGAACGGG
rnacentral:rRNA from 1 species